rnacentral:rRNA from 1 species
GUGAACGCUGGCGGUAGGCCUCACACCUGCAAGUCGAACGGCAGCACAGUAAGAGCUUGCUCUUACGGGUGGCGAGUGGCGGACGGGUGAGGAAUACAUCGGAAUCUACUUUUUCGUGGGGGAUAACGUAGGGAAACUUACGCUAAUACCGCAUACGACCUACGGGUGAAAGCAGGGGAUCUUCGGACCUUGCGCGAUUGAAUGAGCCGAUGUCGGAUUAGCUAGUUGGCGAGGUAAAGGCCCACCAAGGCGACGAUCCGUAGCUGGUCUGAGAGGAUGAUCAGCCACACUGGAACUGAGACACGGUCCAGACUCCUACGGGAGGCAGCAGUGGGGAAUAUUGGACAAUGGGCGCAAGCCUGAUCCAGCCAUACCGCGUGGGUGAAGAAGGCCUUCGGGUUGUAAAGCCCUUUUGUUGGGAAAGAAAAGCAGCAGGUUAAUACCCCGCUGUUCUGACGGUACCCAAAGAAUAAGCACCGGCUAACUUCGUG